GAUGAACGCUGGCGGCGUGCUUAACACAUGCAAGUCGAGCGAAGCACCCGGACGGAUUUCUUCGGAUUGAAGGCCGGGCGACUGAGCGGCGACGGGUGAGUACGCGUGGGUAACCUGCCUCAUACAGGGGGAUAACAGUUAGAAAUGACUGCUAAUACCGCAUAAGCGCACGAAGGCGCAUGCCUUUGUGUGAAAAACUCCGGUGGUAUGAGAUGGACCCGCGUUAGAUUAGCCAGUUGGCAGGGUAACGGCCUACCAAAGCGACGAUCUAUAGCCGGCCUGAGAGGGCGACCGGCCACAUUGGGACUGAGACACGGCCCAA
rnacentral:rRNA from 1 species